AUUGGCAGAAGUAUAAAAAUUAGCUAAUAGAAAUGUAUUACAUCAAUACCUCAGUUUGCGUCGUGGUUACGUUCCAAAAAAACACGACGCAAAUUGAAACGACGCAAAGUGAAUUAAAAUUUUCUAUAGGAAACCAUGUAAAGAUCGAAGAUAGGUUCCAGGGUUACGAAAAUACUACUUUUUAAAAAGAAAAUUGAACAAAGUAGAUACAUUACAACACACUACUUAGAAAGGGAAUCCCCGUGUUUUGAUGGCAUGGCACAAUUAGAAACAAAAGUGUUGCCAUUUUUCAGAAA